AGGAACUCGAAAAUUUAGUAAAACAAGUUGUCUCUAUUAAGCUUAGACGGAUGGCCUUAAACAGGCUGAUACAUAGUAAAUCGACAAUUACAACAAGAACCAAACGGACAAGUUGAACGUUAAAUGCUGAUACUAAAGUGAGAUCAACUUACAGAGUAAACGUUACGAGAUCAGAAGCUCUUCUUAGUGUCAUCUACUAACGAUUAGCUGGCUGCUCGCCUUGCCAAGCCCAAACAAUUUCCUCAAGAGCAGGUCUUAUAACUUGUUUCAGCAAUUUUUGGUACUCUACCUUAUCACCAUACGACUUUUUCAGCUCAACUAAGUGGAAGGACGGAGUAAUUUCAGAUAUUUCAGCAUCGAUGGACAAAGUCUCGUAUCUACCUUCACUCGAUCCCUCUAAUCUCAUAAAACCAGCUUCUUUCUUCAUUACUUCCAGCUUAAGAUUCCUCCCAACUUCCUCGAGUUUGGACAUGAUAGAAGAGGUAGGCUUUGCGGAAAUGAACUGCAAGUCUUCCUUCUGAUCCUUUGUUAUGAAUAAACCGGACAAGUCAAAUCCACUUGAAAGAGAGAUUAUAUCAAAUGCAUUUAGAUUUGUCGGUUUUAGCAACUCUAGCUUUGAAACUGAGGGAGAGAUACUGUUAUGUGUAGCGUUGGCGUCUAGGCUAAACUUUUCCUUUUCUUCUACUUUGGUUACCGUGUUUCUAGACUCGAAACCUUUCUUGAACCAUGAGCUUUCCUUUAUCUUUGCGAUGGAAAUCCUUGUACGAGGGUUUGGAUCAAGGAUUUUAGAAAGUAAUCUCCGCACCUCUGGAGGGAACCAAUUAGGACAUUUGAACUCAGCCUGCUUUAUCUUCCUAUAAAUCUCCAUAAGAUUUGAGUCUUGGAAUGGAAGAUAACCGGCUAGCAAAACAAAUAAGAUCACCCCACAAGACCAGAUAUCAGCUUUGGCGCCAUCAUAUCCUUUUCGACUAAUCACCUCAGGUGCAACGUAAGCUGGGGUUCCACAUGUUGUGUGGAGUAAGCCGUCCUGCCUCUUAGACUCAGCCAAGGCGCUUAAUCCAAAGUCUGAUACCUUAAGAUUUCCAUCCUCAUCUAGAAGCACAUUUUCUGGUUUCAGAUCACGGUGAUAAACAUCUCGACUGUGGCAACAUUCAACAGCGCUAAUCAAUUGCUGA
rnacentral:misc_RNA from 1 species